UAGCCACCACGGAACAGAUCUGAGUGAUGACUAAACCCGUCCCAGAAGUUUGGAGAUGCUGUUUCACUUUCCAGUGUCGGCCACAGGUGUCUGACUGUGCUGCAGGUCACUUGACUUCUACGGCCUCAUCUUUGGAUUGAUGUCCUGAUUACUGUGGAAUAUCUGAGUCUGGACUGAACCUGGGCCUGGAAGGAUCUGCCAUGUGUUCUGCCUUCAAAGUCUCUGCAGUUAUAAAAAGUCCUCUACAGCUCAGAAUUGUAUUCAUGUAAAGUGUAUUGUAAAAUCCAGCACUUCCCAUUAAAAUUACUCCAACUAA